rnacentral:rRNA from 1 species
UGCUUAACACAUGCAAGUCGAACGUUGAUCCGGUGCUUGCACCGGGGCUUAGUGGCGAACGGGUGAGUAACACGUGAGUAACCUGCCCUUAACUCUGGGAUAAGCCUGGGAAACUGGGUCUAAUACCGGAUAUGACUCCUCAUCGCAUGGUGGGGGGUGGAAAGCUUUUGUGGUUUUGGAUGGACUCGCGGCCUAUCAGCUUGUUGGUGAGGUAAUGGCUCACCAAGGCGACGACGGGUAGCCGGCCUGAGAGGGUGACCGGCCACACUGGGACUGAGACACGGCCCAGACUCCUACGGGAGGCAGCAGUGGGGAAUAUUGCACAAUGGGCGGAAUUCCUGAUGCAGCGACGCCGCGUGAGGGAUGACGGCCUUCGGGUUGUAAACCUCUUUCAGUAGGGAAGAAGCGAGAGUGACGGUACCUGCAGAAGAAGCGCCGGCUAACUACGUGCCAGCAGCCGCGGUAAUACGUAGGGCGCAAGCGUUAUCCGGAAUUAUUGGGCGUAAAGAGCUCGUAGGCGGUUUGUCGCGUCUGCCGUGAAAGUCCGGGGCUCAACUCCGGAUCUGCGGUGGGUACGGGCAGACUAGAGUGAUGUAGGGGAGACUGGAAUUCCUGGUGUAGCGGUGAAAUGCGC